UCCUCCCGGACCCGUAGUACUCCCUUCGUGCGCCUCCUCCUCCCGCUCGCCGUGAAACCCUAGCGCCGCCGCCGCCGCCGCCGGAUCCGGUUGUCCUCCGCCUCUCCUGACCGCCGCCGAAUCCUCCUCUUCCCUCCCAUGCGCCACCCGGCGGGUCGACGCGCUCGUGCGGCCAGCUGGCGGCUAGGCCGGCGCGCGCGUGCGGCCACCCGGCGCACCGGCCGACGCGCCCAUGCGGCCACCCGGCAAGCCGGCCCCCGCAGCCCAGGGCAGCCUCCUCUUCCGUGCGGACCGGGGCGCCCGUGCGCCAGCACUCCUCCCGCGCGCCAGCCAGCGGGGCGGCGCGGCCGUGCGGCUAGCCUUCUUCGUCAUCGUCGUUGAGGCAGUCGCGCGCGCAGGCGCAGCAGCAGAACGGCCACUCCAAGCUCGCCAGGUACUUCGACCCGGAGGCCUCCUGGGACAAGGAUCAACUGCUGGACGCCGUGCACUGGAUCUGCCAGGUGCUCGGCCUCGCCUGUGGCCUGCUCUAGGGAGUCGUCCCCCUCGUCGGCGCCGUCUGGAUCGCCCUAUGAGAGAGACAAUGGAAUCAUUGUGUCAACUCUGGAAGUUAAUGGACUCCUCGGAAACGACAAUUUAACAAAGUGAUGAGUGUUCUCAUAUCAUCAGAAGAGGAAAUCUCAUCCCCUGGUGUUCUCUCACAGGAAACAAUUGAAAAGAUGGGUGCUGAGGUUGAGAGGUUAACAAAACUUAAAGCUAGAAGAUUAAAAGAAAUUUUCAUGAAGAAGAGGUUAGAAUUAGAAGAGAUAUGCAAAACUGCACACAUAGAACCUGAUGCCAUUACAGCCCCUGAGCAAACUAAUGAAAUGAUUGAUUCUGGCAUGCUUGACCCUUCUGAGCUUCUGGCGAAUUGAGCACCCUCUGGUUGUUCAUGAAGACAUUGCAUCCUAUGAAGUCUCUCCACAGACAGUGCAGGCACUAAGAAAGAAGCAAGCUAUCAUGAAGAAGUGUACACCAAGGAGGGUUUCAGUUGAAGUGGCCAACACAUCCAUUCCAGCUUCUAAUACCAGAAGCAAGAAGAAACUCUAGCUUGAAUAAAUUAUGUGGAGAAACUACUACUUUUGAUGUAAUUUAAGAUAUGUUUGGACUUUUUAUGUGUGGACUUAGUGUGGUGAACUACUACCUUAAAUGUUGGUGAUCUUGUUAUGUGUAGACUUAGUGUGCUUAUGAAAUACUUUAAAUAUCGCUCA